rnacentral:lncRNA from 1 species
CGGUCUCAUCUCAGCAAGUACACACCAUUUCCACCUCAAGAAAUGGUACCCUCCUUUACUAGCAUCUGUUGCUGUCUCAGGAAUUGCAUCUUUAGCAUGGCAAUGCAUCUUUAUCUACAAUCCAUCAAGAGCAGUCAAAGCAACGUUCUGGCUUAGCCCAAUACUCACCUGCUCGGUAGGAAUCUUGCUUGUUUUGAUUGGCUCAGCGGUAGAUGCAGGUAUAGGUGCAGUGUUUGUCCUUUUCGCCAUUACUCAGUCCCUCUAUGGUUGCUGGAUUACUCCGAGGCUUGAGUACACCGAUAAAAUAUUAUCACUUGCCACAGCAUUUCCACCUGCAAGAACCAGAGAAGUAGUCUGCUUAUCAAUCAUAGUCAGUGUCGUUUACUCUGGUUUCUUGGUGACUGGAAUUGGAGGAGCAACUUCCACUAGAACAAAUCUUGAUAUCUUGUUCAUAUCCGUAAUCAUAAUAAGCUUAGCAUGGACGAUGCAAGUUAUCAAGAAUGUUCAACAAGUUGCGAUUUCACGGGCGAGAUAUGUAAACUUUGCACAUGGAGAAGAUAUGGACGCUUGGAAUGCUUUCCGCAUCACUAUGAAACACUUGACUGGGAGCAUCUGCGUUGGCUCGACGCUUGUUCCAAUCAUCGUAUUCAUAAGAGGAUCAAUAAGAAGUGUUAAUCUAAUGUCAGGGAGCAGCGAUGAGGUCAUGUAUUCAGGUGCUGAUUGCUUCUCUACCAUUGCUAACAAACUCAUUACACUUGGAAACAGAUGGGGCUUUGUACAUGUUGGAACCUAUGAUAAAGGAUUCAUGGAGGCUUCGAGUGAUACCUGGAAGAAGUUCAGAAGCACAACAGGGUUGGAGAAACUGAUUGACUCGGAUCUCACUAGCUCCUUCUGUUUUCUCAGUGCUGUUUCUGUUGGAGCUGUCUCUUCAUUAACUGCUGGGAUAUGGAUGUUGUUAAUACACAAGGACUAUGCCCUGGAAGUGACUCUCUAUGCUUUCAUAAUUGGAUAUUUUGUGGUAAGAUAGCUAAUUUUAUAAAAAUAUGAAGAAGACUUUUAGACAAAGUGGUUUAUGUUGUGUACCUGGUUUUGAGUGUUUUCAGGGAAGGGUAGGUUUGGCGUGGCUACAGGCAUGUGUAUUGGCUUACUAUGUAGCUUAUUCUGAAGAUCCUCAGAGCAUGAGAUUUGAUGGAACAAUUCCACAACGUAUUCAGCGUCUUCAAAUGUUAAGUGCUCACCGAGAUAACAGGGAGCUUGAGGUGGGUAGAGACAGAGAAGAAGAUAGUUAUAACAAUUGUUGAGUCAUGAAGGAGUCUCGCUACAUACAUGUAAAGAAAAACAAGGAUUACUACUUUAUUUCUUCAAACUUAUAGAUUCUUCUAUUGAUAGGCAAAAAUCUUAGCUUCAAUGUGUUUAUAUGUAUGCCAAAACUCCAACUAAAGAAAGAAUGCACAUACUUUUUCUCUCAACUUAGCAAUAUGUCCCAUUAUACAGUGGGACUUAAGAUUACUGAAAUUUUCAACACUUAGAAAUCUUGAGUUUUUAGCAUACUACCAAUUUACAGCAAAAAAUAACUAAAUUUGUUCCAUAUGUGACAGAAGUAUACUAGUGAUCAUAAUCACAAUCAUUAUCAACAUUAAGCACAAGUACAUUCUAAUGAUUAACGAAAAAACAAUAAUCUGAAGCAAUAGAAGGAAGAGAAGCUACUGUACAUUUGGAAUCGAAUAGCCGAUAGGGGAAUCCGCCGCAGAUUCUGGAGAAGAAUUUGCAGUUCAUCGGAGAGAGCCUAUGAUUGAAGAAAUCAGACAAAAGUUUCGGAGGAGAGAUCUCGAACCGGAACAAAAAGUUUAUAUUGGUAUUGAAAUUAAAAUCGAUUUUGGGUUUGGUUUAGACUGGUUUAG